AUUGAACGCUGGCGGCAUGCUUUACACAUGCAAGUCGAACGGUAACAGGCCUUCGGGCGCUGACGAGUGGCGAACGGGUGAGUAAUUCAUCGGAACGUGCCCAGUCGUGGGGGAUAACGCAGCGAAAGCUGUGCUAAUACCGCAUACGAUCUAUGGAUGAAAGCGGGGGACCGUAAGGCCUCGCGCGAUUGGAGCGGCCGAAGUCAGAUUAGGUAGGUGGUGGGGUAAAGGCCCACCAAGCCAACGAUCGGUAGCUGGUCUGAGAGGACGACCGGCAACACGGGAAGGCAGACACGGUCGAGGCUCAUACGGGAGGCAGCAGUGAGGAAUUUGGGACAAGGGGCGCAAGCCUGGUCCAGCAAAGCCGCGUGCAGGAAGAAGGCCUUCGGGUUGGAAGCUGCUUUUGUACGGAACGAAACGGCGAGCGCUAAUACAGUUUGCUAAUGACGGUACCGUAAGAAUAAGCACCGGCUAACUACGUGCCAGCCGCCGCGGUAAUAC
rnacentral:rRNA from 1 species